rnacentral:rRNA from 1 species
GGGUCAGUAGGUUGGUCGUGCCACCGGUACGUACUGGUCUCACUGAUUCCUCCUUCCUGAAGAACCGUAAUGCCAUUAAUUUGGUGUUGCGGGGAAACAGGACUGUUACUUUGAAAAAGUUAGAGUGUUUAAAGCAAGCUAACGCUUGAAUACAUUAGCAUGGAAUAAUGAAAUAGGACGAUCGAUCCUAUUUUGCUGGUUUCUAGGAUUGACGUA